CUUCUCUUCAUUCACAGGAAAAUCAAGUCCUGCAGCUGAUGCAGCAGUUUAUUCUGAAGUCACAUCAGGAAGCUCUCUCAGUCAGUGAGGAGAGCUGUAGCAGCAAAGCCAAGAAGAAGCUUUUUAUGAAGCCACUCUUGCUCCUCUGCUCCCCAAAUA